rnacentral:rRNA from 1 species
AUGCUACACAUGCAGUCCGACGUGAAAGGGGAGCAAUCCCCCGGUAGGGUGGCAAACGGGUGAGUAAGACAUGGGUGAUCUGCCCUGGAGAUGGGGAUAUCCCUCCGAAAGGGGGGGCAAUACCGAAUAGUAUCCGGUUCCGUGAAGGGGGCCGGGGAAAGGGAGGCCUCUGGUACAAGCUUCCGCUCCUGGAUGAGCCCAUGGCCCAUCAGCUAGUUGGUAGGGUAAAGGCCUACCAAGGCGACGACGGGUAGCUGGUCUGAGAGGACAACCAGCCACACUGGCACUGAGACACGGGCCAGACUCCUACGGGAGGCAGCAGUGAGGAAUAUUGCGCAAUGGGGGCAACCCUGACGCAGCAACGCCGCGUGUGGGAAGAAGGCUUUCGGGUUGUAAACCACUUUUGCCCGGGACGAAAGGGGGGGCCUGAAUAAGGUCACCCGAUGACGGUACCGGGAGAAUAAGCCACGGCUAACUCUGUGCCAGCAGCCGCGGUAAGACAGAGGUGGCAAGCGUUGUUCGGAGUUACUGGGCGUAAAGAGUCUGUAGGUGGUCUGUCAAGUCUUUGGUGAAAGGCCGUGGCUUAACCAUGGGAAUGCCAAAGAGACUGGCAGACUGGAGGCUGGGAGAGGGAAGCGGAAUUUCUGGUGUAGCGGUGAAAUGCGUAGAUAUCAGAAGGAAGGCCGGUGGCGAAGGCGGCUUCCUGGAACAGACCUGACACUGAGAGACGAAAGCGUGGGGAGCAAACAGGAUUAGAUACCCUGGUAGUCCACGCCCUAAACGAUGGGUACUAAGUGUGGGAGGGUUAAACCUCCCG